UCCACUGAGCCAAACCGGUUUCGGCUACAUUCCUUCUUGUAUCUCUGACUUCCUUCUGCUUUCUUUCUGUCUUAUACAUGUUUACUAUUUCAUUUUGUAAGCACGACCUGUGGCAAACAUUCUUGAUUUUUAUUUACCUGAAAAUGUCUCUAUAUUGUCUCAUCUUUAAAGAUAGUUUCUUCUAAUUACAUCUAGGGUGAGUAUUAUUUUCUUACUAAUCUACUGAAAAUAUUCUCUUUUCAGCUUGGCCUCUCGUCAGUGAUAAAGAAUCAGUCUUCAUUGUUUUGGUGAUCACCUUUUUCACUGGAGCUUUUUUUAAUAUAUGAAUUUUUUAUUGAUUUCAGAGAGGAAGGGAGAGAGAGAGAGAAGCAUCAAUGAUGAGAGAGAAUUACUGAUCGGCUGCCUCCUGCAACCCGGGCAUAUGCCCUUGACCGAAUCAAACCCCGGACCCUUCAGUCCGCAGGCUGACGUUCUAUCCACUGAGCCAAACAGGACUGGCUUCACUGAUGCUUUUGAGACCUUCUCUCACUAUUGGUGUCUUGGAGAUCAUCUUGGAGUGCCUGUGUGUGGAUUUUCAUUUAUACUUUCAGGGAUUCAUAAGGAAUUUUCAUGAAUCACUUCUAAAAUAUGGCUUAGCUGCAUUCUUUCUCCUGGAAUUCCAACCAGAUUUAUGAUCUCUGACACUAACGAGAAAGUUGGGCUGGUGGCUCUGUGAGGUCCUCAGGCAGUCUUCAUAUUCUAGGCAGCUUUCUGCUUGGGCCCUGAACAGCAAACGCUCAGUGGUUUGUCUCCAAAAAGAGUCCAGUGGAUGAAAGCUGGAGCCAGUGGCCCUUGAGCACACUCCCAGGACUGGCCUUCCUGCACCAGUGGACCGCAGUGUGAGAGUUACACAUGGCUGUAAUAAAAAUGAAAGUGCACUGUUGAUUCACUAGCAAGCCCAGCUUCACUUGUGCAGCUCACUAAUGCCUGCCAUCAGCUCUGCGAGGUGGAGUGCACAAAGGUGACCACAUUUGAGAACAGGAUGGCGCUAGCAGGUUUGGCUCAGUGGAUAAAAUGUCAGCCCACAGACUAAAGGAUCCUGGGUUUGAUUUUCAGUCAAAGGUAACAUACCUUGGUUGCAAGCUGGAUCCCCAGGCCCUGGUCUCUGUGUCUUCCCCCUCCCAACCACUCUAAAAAUCAGUAGGAAAAUAUCCUCAGUUGAGGAUUAAC